rnacentral:rRNA from 1 species
GGAGCUUGCUCCUUGGGUGACGAGUGGCGGACGGGUGAGGAAUAUAUCGGAAUCUACCCUUUCGUGGGGGAUAACGUAGGGAAACUUACGCUAAUACCGCAUACGAACUGAGGUUGAAAGCGGCGGACCGCAAGGCGUCGCGCGGAUGGAUGAGCCGAUAUCCGAUUAGCUAGUUGGUGGGGUAAAGGCCCACCAAGGCGACGAUCGGUAGCUGGUCUGAGAGGAUGAUCAGCCACACUGGAACUGAGACACGGUCCAGACUCCUACGGGAGGCAGCAGUGGGGAAUAUUGGACAAUGGGCGCAAGCCUGAUCCAGCCAUGCCGCGUGUGUGAAGAAGGCCUUAUGGUUGUAAAGCACUUUAAGCGAGGAGGAGGCUACUUUAGUUAAUACCUAGAGAUAGUGGACGUUACUCGCAGAAUAAGCACCGGCUAACUCUGUGCCAGCAGCCGCGGUAAUACAGAGGGUGCAAGCGUUAAUCGGAUUUACUGGGCGUAAAGCGCGCGUAGGCGGCUAAUUAAGUCAAAUGUGAAAUCCCCGAGCUUAACUUGGGAAUUGCAUUCGAUACUGGUUAGCUAGAGUGUGGGAGAGGAUGGUAGAAUUCCAGGUGUAGCGGUGAAAUGCGUAGAGAUCUGGAGGAAUACCGAUGGCGAAGGCAGCCAUCUGGCCUAACACUGACGCUGAGGUGCGAAAGCAUGGGGAGCAAACAGGAUUAGAUACCCUGGUAGUCCAUGCCGUAAACGAUGUCUACUAGCCGUUGGGGCCUUUGAGGCUUUAGUGGCGCAGCUAACGCGAUAAGUAGACCGCCUGGGGAGUACGGUCGCAAGACUAAAACUCAAAUGAAUUGACGGGGGCCCGCACAAGCGGUGGAGCAUGUGGUUUA